AUGAACGCUGGCGGCGUGCCUCAUACAUGCAAGUCGAGCGAACAGACGAGGAGCUUGCUCCUUUGACGUUAGCGGCGGACGGGUGAGUAACACGUGGGUAACCUACCUAUAAGACUGGGAUAACUUCGGGAAACCGGAGCUAAUACCGGAUAAUAUUUCGAACCGCAUGGUUCGAUAGUGAAAGAUGGCUUUGCUAUCACUUAUAGAUGGACCUGCGCCGUAUUAGCUAGUUGGUAAGGUAACGGCUUACCAAGGCAACGAUACGUAGCCGACCUGAGAGGGUGAUCGGCCACACUGGAACUGAGACACGGUCCAGAAUCCUACGGGAGGCAGCAGUAGGGAAUCUUCCGCAAUGGGCGAAAGCCUGACGGGGCAACGCCGCGUGAGUGAUGAAGGUCUUCGGAUCGUAAAACUCUGUUAUUAGGGAAGAAUAAACGUGUAAGUAACUGUGCACGUCUUGACGGUACCUAAUCAGAAAGCCACGGCUAACUACGUG
rnacentral:rRNA from 1 species